GACGAACGCUGGCGGCGUGCUUAACACAUGCAAGUCGAACGGAAAGGCCCUGCUUUUGUGGGGUGCUCGAGUGGCGAACGGGUGAGUAACACGUGAGUAACCUGCCCUUGACUUUGGGAUAACUUCAGGAAACUGGGGCUAAUACCGGAUAGGAGCUCCUGCUGCAUGGUGGGGGUUGGAAAGUUUCGGCGGUUGGGGAUGGACUCGCGGCUUAUCAGCUUGUUGGUGGGGUAGUGGCUUACCAAGGCUUCGACGGGUAGCCGGCCUGGGAGGGUGACCGGCCACAUUGGGACUGAGGAAGGGCCCAGACGGCAACGGGGGGCAGCGGUGGGAAAUAUUGCACAAUGGGCGGAAGCCUGAUACAGCAACGCCGCGUGCGGGAUGACGGCCUUCGGGUUGUAAACCGCUUUCGCCUGUGACGAAGCGUGAGUGACGGUAAUGGAUAAAGAAGCACCGGCUAACUACGUG
rnacentral:rRNA from 1 species